AUCUUGGUCGCAACGUGGAUGCGUACGUCUUCUUGAAAAUACAAACAUACGUAUAUACAUACAUAUGUAUGUUUGUAUCGAGGAUGAGAAGGUGAGAGAGAGGUCGGGAGAGAAAGAAAGAGAGAGAUAGAGAGAGAAAGAGAAAGAGUCUUGUCGGUUUUAUUUGUUUGUUUUCGAAGGAGCCUCACGGAAAUAUAUUUCAAUGUCGUUUCUUGUCAUCAAAAUGUUGUUCAGUACGAAACCACUCUCCGUCGAGUUCACAACGCGCGCGUACGUCUCUCAUAUUUUGCGUAUUUUCAAUAUGUGUAUAUUAAAGGCGUGUACCGAAAAAUAGAUACAAGUGAAAACGCUUCAAGACUAAACAACGUCUUUCGUCUUGAGAAAUUGAAAGUUGCCAACAGAUUUAGUGAUGUGAACGUGAUAAAAAAAAAAAAAUAUAUAUAUAUAUAUAUCAUAAGAUUUUUCGUAAAUCAUGUCUUGUAUUUGUGCGUUAGGAUUUAGAAAUGAUAACGUUUGAUUUUUAGAAACGUUUCACAUAAUAUUAAAUACAAAAAUUGUCUUUCCUAAUUUAUUGUCUCUUCUUCUUUUUUUUUUACUUAAUUACGUAUAUUUAGCACAAGAACAAGAUUUAAGAUUUUCGACAGGAUCAAAAUUUAAGACGUACUUACGUAAACGCGGAAUUGUUAUUUUCAUUCGUGCACCUUCAUUCACAUCACGUUUCUUUUAUUUGUUUGCUUUUAUAUCGUUGACAAUGAAAUACUUGUUUUACGUCAAAUAAAAUGGAUCGAAAACUAUAUUCAUCUGAGUUUUGAUCAAUAUCAGUGCAGAAACUUCUCGAAUUACAAUGCUUGUGUUGGUAGGAGUAGGAGAGGGGGAAGAUAUCGAUUCUUACCAACGAGGUGAAUUAAAAGAGGAAAAGAGAGUACCUAUAAUGAAAUCUUUGAAAGAGAAAAAAAGACAAAGAAAAAAAAAAGAAAGAAAAAAAGAAAAAGAAAAAAUUAAAAAUAUACAAUUGCACAUAAAAUUAUAGCUUUGCCGUGCAACCCGUACUACAUACUCAACUCGAGUUGAGUUAUGAACCAAUAUCCUUGGAUGUAAGUGGAUGUCGUAUAUGGUCGUAGUAUUAUACGUACAACAUGGACUGUGCUUGGCACGAUCUUAAUGACUCUUAAUCUCAAGUACCAACGGCAAUAUUGAGAAACGCAAUACUAAAGCGUAAUAUGGCAAGUUGAUAUAUUUAUAAUAUAUUUCUUCGUAGCAUUCUGACAAAAUAUUUUUUAUCGAGAUACAAUUUUAAGAAAAUUAUAGAUAUGUAAAAUGUUAGACUUAUGAAUUGGAUAUCUCAUGAUUUGAUACAAUGCACAAAAUUAAAUUAAAAAAUUGUGAUUUCAUAUCGUAAUAAAUUUCUUCGUAUUAGUUUCAACAUUAGCACAAUUCUUUUCUUGGAUAUUAAGUAAUUUUCUAUGAUUCUCAAGUACAUUAUUGGGUCGAGCAAUUUCUAUGGAGGUAAUACAGAUGGAAGAAAAUUUUCAUUCGAAUUACAAUCCAAUAUUGUGUUGAGCUGCGUCGAGAAGAAGUAUUUCUCUCAUGAGCUAUGUGCUUUACCGACUCUGAUAUUAAAUCUAUGCUAGUAAAAAAAAAA